rnacentral:rRNA from 1 species
GACGAACGCUGGCGGCAGGCUUAACACAUGCAAGUCGAACGCAUCGCAAGAUGAGUGGCAGACGGGUGAGUAACGCGUGGGAACAUACCCUUUGGUUCGGAAUAACUGAGAGAAAUUUCAGCUAAUACCGGAUGAGCCCUACGGGGGAAAGAUUUAUCGCCAAAGGAUUGGCCCGCGUCCGAUUAGCUAGUUGGUGAGGUAACGGCCCACCAAGGCGACGAUCAGUAGCUGGUCUGAGAGGAUGAUCAGCCACACUGGGACUGAGACACGGCCCAGACUCCUACGGGAGGCAGCAGUGGGGAAUAUUGGACAAUGGGGGCAACCCUGAUCCAGCCAUGCCGCGUGAGUGAUGAAGGCCUUAGGGUUGUAAAGCUCUUUCGUCAGGGAAGAUAAUGACGGUACCUGAAGAAGAAGCCCCGGCUAACUUCGUGCCAGCCGCCGCCGUAAAAC